rnacentral:rRNA from 1 species
AGCGAACGCUGGCGGCAGGCUUAACACAUGCAAGUCGAACGGUCCUUCGGGAUAGUGGCGGACGGGUGAGCAACACGCGGGAACGAAUCCUUAGUUUCGGAACAACACAGGGAAACUUGUGUUCAUACAGGAGAAGACCUUCGGGGGAAAGAUUUAUGGCGCUGGGGGCGGACCGCGUCUGAUUAGCUUGGUGGUGGGGUAAUGGCGCACCAAGGCUACGAUCAGUAGCUGGUCUGAGAGGAUGGCCAGCCACACUGGGACUGAGACACGGCCCAGACUCCUACGGGAGGCAGCAGUGGGGAAUCUUGCGCAAUGGGCGAAAGCCUGACGCAGCCAUGCCGCGUGAGUGAUGAAGGUCUUAGGAUUGUAAAAUCCUUUCACCGGGGACGAUAAUGACGGUACCCGGAGAAGAAGCCCCGGCUAACUUCGUGCCAGCCGCCGCCGUAA